rnacentral:rRNA from 1 species
ACGAACGCUGGCGGCGUGCUUAACACAUGCAAGUCGAACGGAAAGGCCCUGCUUUUGUGGGGUGCUCGAGUGGCGAACGGGUGAGUAACACGUGAGUAACCUGCCCUUGACUUUGGGAUAACUUCAGGAAACUGGGGCUAAUACCGGAUAGGAGCUCCUGCCGCAUGGUGGGGGUUGGAAAGUUUCGGCGGUUGGGGAUGGACUCGCGGCUUAUCAGCUUGUUGGUGGGGUAGUGGCUUACCAAGGCUUUGACGGGUAGCCGGCCUGAGCGGGUGACCGGCCACAUUGGGACUGAGAUACGGCCCGGACUCCUACGGGAGGCAGCGGUGGGGAAUAUUGCACAAUGGGCGGAAGCCUGAUGCAGCAACGCCGCGUGCGGGAUGACGGCCUUCGGGUUGUAAACCGCUUUCGCCUGUGACGAAGCGUGAGUGACGGUAAUGGGUAAAGAAGCACCGGCUAACUACGUG